rnacentral:rRNA from 1 species
UACGGAGGGUGCAAGCGUUGUCCGGAUUUAUUGGGUUUAAAGGGUGCGUAGGCGGCUAUUUAAGUCAGUGGUGAAAGGCAUCAGCUUAACUGUUAGCAUUGCCAUUGAUACUGGGUAGCUUGAGUGCAGUUGAGGUAGGCGGAAUUUAUGGUGUAGCGGUGAAAUGCAUAGAUACCAUAAAGAACACCGAUUGCGAAGGCAGCUUACUAAACUGUAACUGACGCUGAGGCACGAAAGCGUGGGGAUCGAACAGG